CUUUCUUUUCUUCUUCCGUUCCUCCGUUUCCUAUCUCAACCUUUUAUUUCCUGUUUUCCCUCGUUCCCCUUCUGAUUUACUUCCAUCCUUUCUCUCCUUUACAUGUCCGGGCCUCGAUAUCCUCAUUUUCACCUUGUUUCCUUUGUUUCUGUCUUUAUGAGUCAUUUCCAUCCAUCCCCUCAUUUCCCACCGUUCAUUUUCUUUGUGUCUCUCCUCAUCUUUCCUCCCCGUCUCUCCUUCCUACUUUCCCCGUCUCUCCUUCCUUCUUUCCCCGUCUCUCCUUCCCUCUUCCCCGUCUCUCCUUCCUACUUUCCCCGUCUCUCCUUCCUACUUUCCCCAUCUCUCCUUCCUACUUUCCCCGUCUUUCCUUCCUUCUUCCCCGUCUCUCCUUCCUACUUUCCCCGUCUCUCCUUCCUACUUUCCCCGUCUCUCCUUCCUUCUUUCCCCAUCUCUCCUUCCUACUUUCCCCGUCUCUCCUUCCUUCUUCCCCGUCUCUCCUUCCUACUUUCCCCGUCUCUCCUUCCUUCUUCCCCGUCUCUCCUUCCUACUUUCCCCGUCUCUCCUUCCUUCUUCCCCGUCUCUCCUUCCUACUUUCCCCGUCUCUCCUUCCUUCUUUCCCCGUCUCUCCUUCCUACUUUCCCCGUCUCUCCUUCCUUCUUUCCCCGUCUCUCCUUCCUACUUUCCUCGUCUCUCCUUCCUACUUUCCCCAUCUCUCCUUCCUUCUUUCCCCGUCUCACCUUCCUACUUUCCCCAUCUCACCUUCCUACUUUCCCCGUCUCACCUUCCUACUAUCCUCGUCUCUCCUUCCUACUUUCCGUGUCUCACCUUCCUACUUUCCCCGUCUCUCCUUCCUUCUUUCCCCGUCUCUCCUUCCUACUUUCCCCAUCUCUCCUUCCUCUUUCCCCGGUCUCACCUUCCUACUUUCCCCGUCUCACCUUCCUACUUUCCCCGUCUCUCCUUCCUACUUUCCCCCGUCUCUCCUUCCUACUUUCCCGUCUCUCCUUCCUACUUUCCCGUCUCUCCUUCCUACUUUCCCCGUCUCUCCUUCCUACUUUCCCCGUCUCUCCUUCCUUCUUUCCCCGUCUCUCCUUCCUACUUUCCCCGUCUCUUCUUCCUACUUUCCUCGUCUCUCCUUCCUACUUUCCUUGUCUCUCCUUCCUACUUUCCCCGCCUCUUCUUCCUACUUUUCCCGUCUCUCCUUCCUUCUUUCCCUAUCUCUCCUUCCUUCUUUCCCUGUCUCUCCUUCCUUCUUUCCCCG
rnacentral:lncRNA from 1 species